ensembl:lincRNA
AUGAAGACGCCGCUGGGCACGGGUCUAGGGGGACCCGCUGCGGGACCUCUCGGGCUUGGCUUCCAAGCCGCUGACCAGCCGCUGGAUGCUCUGCAGUUCGCUGGUGGCCGCCUCUUUCUCCGAGCAGAGUUUGGGCGACAGGGACACGGAGCUGGAGGACAGCGUGGAGGAGCGGCUGUUCAGCUCCGAGCCCGAGUCCACGGCGGCGACCGAGGCGGGGCUGGCGGCCAGCGCGGCGGCUUUGGCGUCCAGGGGCCCCGCGGCCAUGGCGGGCAGCGCGGAGCUGAGGAGGCCGCCGCCGUCGGGGACCGGCACGGGGAUGGAGUAGGGGCUGUAGCGCAGCCGCGGGCGCAUGCUGUUCAGGCUGAGGAAGGGGUGGCGGUGCACCGAGCUGGAGGCGGCGGCCGAGGACGCGGCAGCUGCAGCGGCCAUGUAGGUGUAGGGGUAAGGGAACAGGCUUCCGAAGGGCGACAUGGCCAGGCCCUGGGAAGCCAGCUAGGCGCGGGCGGGCAGGUAAUCGGGCCGCUACCUGCCGGGGCUUCAGCUCCCGGGGCGGGGCGACGGAGCGCAGGUCAUUUCUCUUCGAGAACGAACACCCCGAUUGCAGGGGUCCGGGGAGACGCUGCACCCCUUCCCCUUCCUGCACGAAGGCCGAGGUCUCCCCAGCACCGACUCCCGCCGCGCGUUACCUUCCGCUUGCAAAGAAUAAACGGAGGUGCGGGGAGACGUUGGGGAAAGGGGUGCCAAAAGUGAAAGAGAGGCCUGGGGACCCCAGAAGCGCGUCCGUCUGUCCGCGCGCACAGCACAGCACCGGGAAGCGGGGAUGGCCGGGAGGGGCUGGGGGAGAGCCCAGCCAGGGGAGCGGCUCGCGCGCGCAAGCUGUUUGCCCCCGCCGGGGUGUUUACACGUUUUCUUAGCAGCCGGUCUGCGAACGGCGCAGCCCCAGCCCUAGCCCGGGACCCGGAGUCCGGCGCUGGCCGCGCGGUGGACGCCGCGGCGCAUUCCGCUCGCCCUGCCGGAGAGCCAUAGCGCACGGGCCGGGGAGGGGGCGCGGGCUUGGGGAAUCGCCCUUCUGGCCUCUCGAGACGCUAAAAUAGGAGUUCCCCACAUGUCUGAGUCUGGUCUCCUGGUACCUCGAGCGGGGUUCGGGGCNNNNNNNNNNNNNNNNNNNNNNNNNNNNNNNNNNNNNNNNNNNNNNNNNNNNNNNNNNNNNNNNNNNNNNNNNNNNNNNNNNNNNNNNNNNNNNNNNNNNGCGGGGUGGGGGCGGGGUGGGGCCGGGAUUCGCCGCAGCCCAGCCCUGCUGCAAGCGGGGCGCCUUAUUAAACCCAGACGACGGGUCCAGGACUUGGGGCCAUGCGGAAAAGAUUUACAAUUAAGUCAAUUGGGGCCGAAGACAGCCACCCCAGCUUCACAGGUGUAAAUAAUGCCUCCUUCUUUUUUUUCCCUUUUCUUUUCAUUCCUUUUUCGUUCCAAGCGACUUCGUCUCCCACUCACCCCUCCCCACGUCCUACGGCUGUGAUGCUUUUCCAGAAAAGGGAAGAGGAAAAAGGACGGCGCGGCGCUCGGGUUCUUCUCCCAGACAAGUCAAAAUAGGACGCCGCGUUCACUUUCAUGUUCGCGAACGAGUGCCGUGAGCAACCCGGGCAGGCUUCUCCAGCCAAAAUUUAGAACUGUUGGAGUCAAGCAAAGACCUCUUUCCUGUAGGUCAUGAUUGGCUUAAGAGACACAGACAACAUUUUCUACCAUAGGGGCGUUGGUGUCUGAGGGGCAGGCCUUGGGUGGCAGAGCCGUGUGGGGCCGAAGGAAUUCCCUUUGGCUGGAUUAUUAGAGAACGGCUCCAGACCGGAUCUGGAGGAGAGGGGCACCGGCUUGCCCAGCGCCAGGACCCUCCUAGAGCUUCAGGUCAGACCUGCCUCGUGUUUGGCGAGCUUACUGAGCCGUGCCGAGUUGCCCCCUCAGCUUUUACCCAUUGCAUUAUUUAAACGUAAAAGAAUCCACACGCGUGCUUCUAAAAUGUUCUUUGUGGGCACAAGUGUGUACAUACGGGCAUUCCAAGUAGCCCAGCGCAUGAAAUUAAAUCUCAGAUUUAAAGACGCAUCGCAGUCACACCCCACGGGCAGACUCCUAUUUGAUCACUAUAGACAGAGUUAAAUUUAUUUUGCAGCUACGCAGUUACUCCGGUCUCUCUCCCAGCAGUGAGGUCUGUCUGUUACAAAUUACCCAGGAAUUGGAGCAUAGGCCCCCUCCUCGCUGUUGUUCGAUGUUUUUAGUCUCCCACUAACCCGCUCAAUAAUAUAUAUAAUAUGUGUGUAUACAGGCACUUUUCCAAAAAAUUAGCGAUAACAUUCCGGGUGUACGGAGAAUGCCAUUUCCCCUCCCUCUGCAUUUAGGAUUCCGCGCACGGCGACGUUGCCACUCCCAGAGGCGGUCUACCCGGGGGCACCGACACCCACCACCCGGCCUCGGGGAGGAAGUUUUCCAGUCCAUGGUGCAUGUAAGGGCAGGGAGUCGAGGCGCCUGACUCCCGCCCGGAUAAGGUCAUAGGUGUAGAAUUAAAAAGGCAGGACUUGACAUGUCCCCGGCAAGCGUGACCCAGCCCGGCCGAACCCUCGGAGCCGUGGCCGAAGUUUCCAGGCGCGGUGGCGCAAAACCUUUGUCUUCCCCCCGCUUUUCAUUCAGCGUGGCCUGUCCAGUGCAGAUGUUGUGCAUAAAUAAAAGGGGGGACUUGAACGCUAGGUGACCCCGAAUCUGUCUCAAGCGGAGAAGGGGGGCAGGUGAGGAGGCGCAGAGACGGAGGCGCCCUGAUUGCAGGGGGAAGGUGGAGGCGGGGACGGCCGCCCCUUGGAAACCCGCACCCUGCGCUCCGCGGACAGGUGUCCUCGCCGCGUGGCCGCUGGAUGGCGCUCAGGGAGAUGUGGCUGCGGCUGGUGGGUGUCGGCGAGGCCUGAUCGGAUCUGCGGUGACAGGCGCGCGGCGGAGGCCUCAGUCCCGAGCCUCUGAGGUCACGGGGCUGGACACACUGGGAAGUCCAAGCUUUUCUUGGAGGCUGGGUCGGGAGAGGGUCACUCAGAGCGGGGCCAAAUCUGGGAAGGGGGACAGGGACUCUGGUGGCAGCAGGGGAGAGGGGAUUAUCAGGGAAAUUAGUUCCCGGUGUCUAAGAAUCCACUUGCAGUGUGUGUGUGUGUGUGUGUGUGUGUGUGUGUGUGUGUGUGUGUGUGUGUGCUGGGCCACAGGGAGAAGUGUCUUCAAAGGAAGACAAGUGUAGAGAUACAUAACACUAAGGUUCUCUGAAUUUCACCACACUGGGCCCUUUCAUGCAGAGACUACUCAGGUGAGCUGGGCAUGGUGGCGCACACCUGUAAUCCCAGGGCUUGGGAGGCUGAGGCAGGAGGAUCACUGUGAAUUCAGGGCCAGCCUGAACUACAUGGGGAGACCCUGUCUCAAAAAAACCAAAGAAAGAAAGAAAGAAAAAAAAAAAAGGACCGGUCAGGUGCCUGCUGGGCCCCAGUGGCUGGUUGGAAAUUUGAGUAGCUGGCCUAGCCUAGGGACUGACCUGAACGUACCUGGAAUUAGUAGCCACCAGGGCUGAGACACAUUCCAGCCUCAUGACUCUGUAAUAAUAAGGGUUGCACGUCCAUCAUCCCAGCACCCAGGAGGCUGAGGCAGGAGGAUCAUCAUGAGUUCAAGGCCAGCCGGGCUAUGUAGUGAGUUCACAGCCAACCCGAACUACAUUGCAAGACCCUGUCUCCAAAAAAAACAAACACUAAAAAUAAGAAGGGUCUAAGGCCCCUUGGGGAUUGGGCAGGGCUCAUAACCAGUGGUAUUCACGGUCACUGCAAGGGGCUCUGUCAAGGUGCUUAAACCCUCAGACUGGCCCCAACACAGGGACGAAUAAAUCCAUCCACACUUAAUGAGUUUGUGCUGUGUACCUACCAGGCACUCCUCAGGGUUUAUGAUCUUGUCAAAAGUUACUUAAAGAGCUGGGGGUGGGGAAGACAGCCAACCGCGAUUACAGGAAGGCUCUCGGUGCGCGGUUGGGGUAAGAGUCUAGUGUCAGCUCUCCUGUUUUGUGAGCUGCAGGAGGGUGGGGCUCACGUCUCCUCUCUGUUCAUUGCACUUGGCAACUGUCAGGUGCUGGGCAAACAACCACUCUCUACAGGAACGGAGGUCAGAGAAGGAAGGGACAUUCUCCCUGCUUUUGAAAACCAGCGACCACAUCCAGAAUGCGUUUUAAAGAGCCAGCGUCAAACUUAGGAGCUGCUUCCGUGCCCACAGACAGAAUCUGAGUGUGAAAUCCGAUGGGGACCAGCAGCCCUAGUCUGAGAAAGCAGUAGGAAGCAAGGCUGGGUGUGAGUGAGGGCUGGAAAAAUCCACCGAUCAAGAGGGUUCUGGGAGACAGAUAUUCUGCCUCGGCGGAGAGGUGGGGUGGGCGGUUUCUUUCAGGUGCUGUCUGCCUGGCAGCUUUGCCCUGUGCGCAUUAUGCACCCGGCUGGCCAGGUCACCCCAGGAGCUGUACAAACAGGUGGCCGAGUCUACACUUUCUCAGAUCUGCCCAGCCCAGCUCUUAACGCCAAGGUUCCGACCUCUGCACUCUCCCGCCUCAGCCUCCUCGGUCUGCACUACCGCAUCUCUUCAUAAACUGGAAAACUUCGGAAUAAAUAGCAAAGGAGUCUCCCCAGUGACACAUUAUUAAAAGGGACAGUAAGGGGUUUCCAGAAUCCUGCCCCCACCGCUUUGAGCUUCUACCUUGCUGCCACAUUAGUUCCCCG